rnacentral:hammerhead_ribozyme from 1 species
GCUCUGGUGAGGAGUCCCACAAUAGGACGAAACGGCCGUCCAGUGC